rnacentral:rRNA from 1 species
UUUUGACACGUGGUAGGGGAGCGUUCCGUAAGCCUGCGAAGGUGUCUCGUAAGGGAUGCUGGAGGUAUCGGAAGUGCGAAUGCUGACUAUGAGUAGCGAUAAAGGGGUGUGAAAAGCACCCUCGCCGUAAGCCCAAGGUUUCCUGCGCAACGUUCAUCGGCGCAGGGUGAGUCGGCCCCUAAGGCGAGGCAGAAAUGCGUAGUCGAUGGGAAACAGGUCAAUAUUCCUGUACCGCUCUUAGAUGCGAUGGGGGACGGAGAAGGUUAGCUCGGCCAUCUGUUGGAAUAGGUGGUUUAAGCGUGUAGUCGUGCCGCGUAGGCAAAUCCGCGUGGCUUAGAUGAGGCGUGAUGACGAGGAUCCUCGGAUCCGAAGCGAGUGAUACCCAGCUUCCAGGAAAAGCCUCUAAGCUUCAGUCUAAGAGUGACCGUACCGCAAACCGACACAGGUGGGCUGGUAGAGAAUACCAAGGCGCUUGAGAGAACUCAGGAGAAGGAACUCGGCAAAUUGAUACCGUAACUUCGGGAG